GACGAACGCUGGCGGCGUGCUUAACACAUGCAAGUCGAACGGACAGGCCCUGCUUUUGUGGGGUGCUCGAGUGGCGAACGGGUGAGUAACACGUGAGUAACCUGCACUUGACUUUGGGAUAACUUCAGGAAACUGGGGCUAAUACCGGAUAGGAGAUCCUGAUGCAUGGUGGGGGUUGGAAAGUUUCGGCGGUUGGGGAUGGACUCGCGGCUUAUCAGCUUGUUGGUGGGGUAGGUGCUUACCAAGGCUUUGACGGGUAGCCGGCCUGAGAGGGUGACCGGCCACAUUGGGACUGAGAGACGGACCAGACUCCUACGGGAGGCAGCAGUGGGGAAUAUUGCACAAUGGGCGGAAGCGUGAUGCAGCAACGCCGCGUGCGGGAUGACGGCUUUCUGGUUGUAAACCGCUUUCGCCUGAGACGAAGCGUGAGUGACGGUAAUGGGUAAAGAAGCACCGGCUAACUACGUG
rnacentral:rRNA from 1 species